rnacentral:rRNA from 1 species
GUGGGGAAUCUUCCGCAAUGGACGAAAGUCUGACGGAGCGACGCCGCGUGAGUGAAGAAGGCCUUCGGGUCGUAAAGCUCUGUCAUCAGGGACGAACGGCCGGUGGAGUGGAAAGCCACCGGAUUGACGGUACCUGAGAAGGAAGCCACGGCUAACUACGUGCCAGCAGCCGCGGUAAUACGUAGGUGGCAAGCGUUGUCCGGAAUUAUUGGGCGUAAAGCGCGCGCAGGUGGGAUCUUAAGUCCAUUUUUAAAGUUCGGAGCUCAACUCCGUGAUGGGAUGGAAACUGGGAUUCUUGAGUACCGGAGAGGAAAGCGGAAUUCCCCGUGUAGCGGUGAAAUGCGUAGAUAUGGGGAGGAACACCAGUGGCGAAGGCGGCUCACUGGCUCGAUACUGACGCUGAGGUGCGAAAGCGUGGGGAGCAAACAGGAUUAGAUACCCGGGUAGUCC